GGCUGGCCUGGGGGCUUUCUGCCCUGCUGGGGAGUAAGGCAGAGGGCGGAUCCCGCUGUUCUGCCAGAGGAGAGGAGCUGAGCUCAUUGCACAUCCCAGGCAGCUGCAGCCGGCAGCGCUGUCAGCUGAUGUGGGGGGGUGUCUUCUAGCCUCUCUUCCUCCCUCUCCCAAGUGGAUUAAAACUCUUGCCGCUGAGUUUCUGGGUCAGGAGGAUUAUUCUAAGUGAUGUGGGCUUGGUGAAUCAUUUCAGCCACAGACUGGCUUCAACUGGGGCGAGUAGCUCCUCCCCACAAAAAGGAUGGCUUCCAAUUUUAAUGACAUAGUGAAGCAAGGGUAUGUAAAGAUUAGGAGCAGACGUUUAGGUAUUUAUCAGAGAUGCUGGUUAGUAUUCAAGAAAGCUUCAAGCAAAGGGCCAAAACGACUGGAGAAGUUUUCAGAUGAGCAUGCUGCCUAUUUUAGGUGCUACCAUAAGGUCACAGAGCUCAAUAACGUGAAGAAUAUAUUACGACUGCCAAAAAGCACGAAGAAACAUGCUGUAGGCAUUUAUUUCAAUGAUGACUCAUCUAAAACCUUUGCUUGUGAAUCAGAUUUUCUGGGCAUUUAUACAGAACUCGAGGCGGAUGAGUGGUGCAAAGUGCUGCAGAUGGAAUGCCUAGGAACUCAAAUUAAUGACAUAAGCCUUGGAGAGCCUGACUUGUUGGCAUCUGGUGUAGAAAGGGAGCAGAGUGAGAGAUUCAAUGUGUAUUUAAUGCCAUCCCCUAAUUUAGAGGUGCAUGGGGAAUGUACCUUGCAGAUAACAUUUGAGCAUAUCUGUCUUUGGGAUAUCCAGAAUCCCAGAGUAAAACUCAUCUCUUGGCCAUUAAGUGCCCUCCGGCGGUAUGGACGAGACCCAACCUGGUUUACAUUUGAAGCAGGGAGGAUGUGUGACACUGGGGAAGGACUAUUCAUCUUUCAGACAAGAGAUGGGGAGGCGAUCUAUCAGAAGGUUCACUCAGCUGCUUUGGCCAUAGCCGAACAACAUGAGCGCUUAUUACAGAGUGUGAAAAAUUCAGUGGUUUUUUUAUUUUUCUGAAUGUGGGCCAGGAUUUGGAAUCAGAAUCACAAAAAGAAAGCUAGAGAGGCUGUUCUCACAGUAAUUCCUACCAAACUAGAAUGAGGAAAUACAAGAAACCGUGAAAGGAAAAAGAAUCGUACUGUUCUCUUAAGGUGUCAAGCCAAAUUUUGCAGAUUGGAUAAUUGAGCUAAACUUCAAUUAAGCACCCAAGCUAAUAAAUAAUUCAUUGCUGUAGUUUUGCAAGGCAUUUUGGAAGAGCUUGAGUCUGCUAUUAUUUAAAACAAAACAUUGACUUGUUUCCAGUCAAUACCAGUAUAUUAAUUUGUAGUUAAUAUUGACACUUCACAGAUAUUGUUACCUACGUACCUUUCCUAGACUUUCUGCCUUGUAUUCAUUUUCUUAAUCAGCAUCUGUGAUCACCUUGUAGGUAGGAAUGUGGGGAGGUUUUUACCAAGAAGUCAUUCUUGAAGGCAAGAUUCUUCUGUUGAUAUGGUGUUAGCUGGCUCCUUAUAUAUUCACUGUCAUUAUGUCAAUAGAAGAUCCACAUGUGUUGUCAUGAUGACAGAAUACAGCAUACCAAACCUAAAUGCAAUUGUAAAAACUCUGCCCCAAGUGCAGCCAUUGGGAUUUUAGCAAUUUCCAAUGCAGCCUUCAAUUUAUUAGGUUAUAUUUGGGUGGUACUUGUCAAGGACACACUUUGCUUUUCUGCCUCCACAAAUGUAUUGACCUGAGGUGCAAAAUCAGUAGCAAAUGAAGUUUUACGCUGUUCUUUCUCUCAAUGCAGUAUCCUCUACUGAUACAUAUCUUAGAGCUGUGUUGAUGGUUAAAACAUUGGGUUAUUUUCAAGUCUUUAGCAGCAAUGUCAGCCUUUUAUCAAAGGGGGAAUAAAAUGAUGAUUAUUAUUUUAUUUAUUCUGAAUUAGCAGUUAUUUUACUGAUGUAACAAAACAGGUUACAAAUAGCCUGGCCUGGGUCAGACAUACCUAGGAAGCAAGGACUGGCUGCAGUCCGCAAGUGUUGGAAGAGACUGAGUAAUGUGUUGUCUAUUUAGUCAUAGCUAUUUUCAAAGUCUAACACUCUGCGGUAACUUUUUUCUUGUUGAAGUGAAUAGCAUUUUCAGACCACUUCAUAUCUGGUGGUUUUACAGAAGUGUAAAUGGCAGUCUUAUUGUGCAAUAUGGUAUUUGAAGAGUCACUUCAAUUGAUUCUUAAAAUACUAAACUGCACUAAAAUAGUCAUUUCAAUCACUUCAGAGAUACAGUUGCCAUAAAUUUCAGUGGGGAGCAGCUGCAACAGAUCUAAACUCCAUUUUACUAAACUAGGGCCAACUGUAACCUCUAAAAAUAACACUGAAUCCUAGAAUGCUAACCUGACGAUAACAACAUACUCUUCUUUUAAAUUUAAAGGCUUAUCAUUUAGUAGUGGUAUACAAAGAUCAGCCCAUCUACCUCUGGAAACAGACUUGAGACCAACCGGAAAUUCAGAUCUUGGGUUUUUGGUGUAGCCCAUCAUAGAGAUGGCUCUGAAAUAUGGCUCUGGAUCUAGGUUCAGAUUCCAGCCUUCAUCCUAGAGUUCCGGGGUGUCCAGAUUAAGGUUUUUGGUUGUCCUUGUUAGAUUUGAGAGAAUACUUCAUAAUAGGUAAUCUAUUUGAUGAAUUUCACCUCUUUUACAGACCACAAAACAUGUUCAGCUACAUCAUGAAAUUCUAUUUUUAUUUAUAGAAAGUGUACCUGGAAGGGUAGAAUAUGUAGAUCAUUAAAAUUCAUUUUAGAACUCAAAUAUUCACAGAAAAUUUUGUCUGCUAUUUACUCAUCUCUAAGGUCCAUAUCUAAUCAUUGGCUCAGGUACUCCAAUCUGGAUGAGUUGUGCUUAGCACAAGACUGGUGGAAGGUUGGCAGAAGUGACAUUGUUACCCACGUUCUUCCCUAAUUCUGGGACUGACAAGGAAUCAGGCUAGCCCUCACUGCAAUUAGAGCAGACAAGGGCUCAUUUCAGAUAAGAUGCUGUGACCACAUGACCUUUGUCCAGACACAUGACAAGUUUCAAAUGGGAGUGGCGUAAGAUAUGCCAAUUUUAUGACUUCUUUGCACCAUUGGUGCAAAGCAGCCCUGUGACACAUACACACCAGACAGUUGCAUUUACUUGUCAGCAAAGUGAAUUAAAAGAUGUGUCCUUUUUGGAGAGAGCAGAAACAGUGUUGGCCCUCUGCUUGGGUGAAUUUCACCCUUUCUGAUUAUUUGCCACCACACAGCGUAUCUGGUUUAUACCCACCCUUUUCAUGCUUUCUUCCUUUUCUAUUUUGUACCACCAUUCAAUGGAAAAGUAAUAUUUAGAGCACAAACACAUUUUUCAAAACCCAUGAAAGAUUAUCUAGCUGUCAUAAUAAUUGACCAACAGAAUUAUAGUUCCUGACUGUUGCCAUUUAUGCCAGAGCUCAGGCCAAGUUGUUUAAGAAGGAACCUCAUUACUUCUCAUGAUGGAAUAUCAAGACUUAAUGAGAAUGAAACUUCCUAGUUCUGGCAACUGAAAGCCAAUAUUGCCUAGAAUGAUCGUAUUGGCCAGUUCAACGAGCAGCCUAGAUGCUUGGGGGCGGAUUUUCAGACAAAAUUACAUCUGAUGCAUAUGAUAAUACAAGUGCAAUUGGAUUAUUGGAUGGCAAAUUGCUAAUUAUGGUCAUUUCCAUGUGUACUUGUGAUCAUUAGAAAUGGAAAUUAGUGCUGGGAAUGGUACUUUCUAUCUCUGGGACUAGAAAAAAGGAAUACCUUGGAGUAGAAAGGAUGACAGUAGGGUAAAAAAUGAACGACAUAAGUAAACUCAUCAAAAAAAUUUAAAAGGAGCAUUAACACAUCACUGUCUGUCUGAAGAUGUUAAAAUAAAAAUGUUGCCUCUUCUACAGCAUUUGCAUAUCUUUUGCAAUGGAUUUGGUAACUGCCUUAACUAAGCAGUGAUUGUCUUAAAGUUUGAAUUGACAACAUGAACCUACUUCACCUGGAAGGAAAAAAAAAGCCCCAUCUCAAUUAGGGCUGACAAAUGAUUUUAAAAAAUCACAAUUAAGUGUGAGAUUAAAAAAUACUAUUUCUCUUAUCUUUUUUCCAGUGCAAAUAUUUGUAAUAAAAAUAUCAAGUGAGUAUUAUACACUUAGUAUUCAGUGUUGUAAUUGAAAUCAAUAUAUGUAUAAUACAUUUAAAUUGGUAUUCUAUUAUUGUUUAAUAGUGCAAUUAAAACUGAUUAAUCACAACUAUUUUUUAUCUAGUUAAUGUUUUUGCAUUAAUCACAUGUAUUAACUGUGAUUAAUUGACAGCCCUAAUUUCAAUAUAUCCCAGAACUAAUAUUCAGUUACUUUAUAAUUAGUGUUUUUGAUAAAUCUCUGAAAUGUAUACUCAGACUAAGUGAACAGAUCGCACACUAUUAACAAAUGUUUUACAUAAAUUACCUAGAUUGUUUUUUUUCUGUGUGUUUUGUUUUGUGUUGAGAGAGAGAGAGAACGAGAACACAGGCAAUACUAAUUUUGUGGGAUGGUGGUGGUAAGGAGUGGUUUGUUUUUUUUUUAAAUAAACUAUUUCUGAUCCAAACUUUUAGUCCUGGCUGAGCUGUGCUUAAUGUAGGACCCAAGAGAAGAUGCAAAGGUGACUCCCUCAAACUGCUGGACUGCUUGGAAACCAAGCCCCAGGAUUAGGUUCCAUUCUGGUAACUGUCCUCUACAUAAGCCUCUAAUACAACCCCCAUGCCAGGGGAAUUCUCAAAUGCACAGCGGAGGCCGCUUUACACAUCUUUUUCAGCACUAGAAUGACACAAGGGGCCACAGUAAGAGUGAUAAUUUGGCCUUUCUGUAUUCCACAGAAAUCAUUUAAAACACAUUGCAAACCCCAGUUGAAAUCAUGCGUUUUAUUCUCAAUGGACAGAUAAUAUUGGAGAAGUAUUAGACCAAGUUCUGUUCUCAGUCACACUAGUGCAUUCCUAUUGAAGAAGGACUCAAAGAUGCUCUCCUUGUUCAGGAGAAGGAUUUAAGAUGUGGAGACAUUCAUCCAGAAAAAUUUCAGGCACAGCCAGAAUGGAGUCACUAAUAUGGCACAGAAUUCCUUGGCUGGCUGAAACACCACUCAAUAACAUCCCAUCGUACUGCAUUGUUUUACAAAAUAGCUUUUGGCUCUCCUCUAAUGGUGAAAUGGUACAAUGCCACUGACCCCUGAGUGCCUCUAAAUUGCUUUUCCUGUUACGCAUAUGCAUCAGAAGAACAGACUACACCAUCCAGGUUGCCAGUGAACCUCAGUAUACAACGAAAACCCUGCUAAUGAUCACUGUACCAUGGUCAUCCAUCCAAACAGCCAGUAAAAUGUUAGCCUUUGUGAGAGUGCCUCCACACUGCAUUAUGCAGUCAUCUGUUACAAAGAUCAGAAAAAUUCCAGUCCCUUAUUGCUUUUAAGAGGAGAGUUCGCUAUAAUUAAGGUAUAAGGAAAAUGAAGAAGAAGCCACCACAAAAAGUGCACCUAGGUAGGGCUGAGCAUAAAUGUUUGUCUUGAUGGAAGAGGAUGCAUUAGCUUGCAGUAUUUUUGUGCUAGUGCAGGGUUCACCAGCAAGCCAUCACAAGCGCUACAGUGUAUUCUCUACCAAGAGUGGUGUCUCAUCAGGGAGAAUGGCAGUAUCUUUUGGAUGGGAUGUGACUGGAAGGGUCCUAAUAGCCUUUAACCAAUGACAUGAGUGGAAAUAUCUAAGCAGCACUCCCCACAUGAUCUCAAGCACAAUGUCGACACCUGAUAGAAAGGAAGUUUGUAGGCGAAUGGGUUUUGCUAAAUAACUUCAACCCUGACCUAAGGAAGAGCUCUAUCUUCAAAUGAAAAUGAGCGAGCGAGCCGUCUCCCUCAACACCAUAGUGCCCUUGCCCCGGAGUGCCUACUGGCAGCACAUUACACGGCAACACAGUACGGGCCAGCUGUACGGCCUACAAG